CCUACGGGGGUCAGCAGUGGGGAAUAUUGGGCAAUGGGCGCAAGCCUGACCCAGCAACGCCGCGUGAAGGAAGAAGGCUUUCGGGUUGUAAACUUCUUUUGUCAGGGACGAAGCAAGUGACGGUACCUGACGAAUAAGCCACGGCUAACUACGUGCCAGCAGCCGCGGUAAUACGUAGGUGGCAAGCGUUAUCCGGAUUUAUUGGGUGUAAAGGGCGUGUAGGCGGGAAUGCAAGUCAGAUGUGAAAUCUAUGGGCUCAACCCAUAGCCUGCAUUUGAAACUGUAUUUCUUGAGUGCAGGAGAGGCAAUCGGAAUUCCGUGUGUAGCGGUGAAAUGCGUAGAUAUACGGAGGAACACCAGUGGCGAAGGCGGAUUGCUGGACAGUAACUGACGCUGAGGCGCGAAAGCGUGGGGAGCAAACAGGAUUAGAUACCCGUGUAGUC
rnacentral:rRNA from 1 species